CAUUAAGAAGCUAUACAGCAUUAACCUUUUAAGUUAAAGAUUGAGAGUUUAAAUCUCUCCUUAAUGA
rnacentral:tRNA from 3 species